CUCUCCGCCUCCUCCAGCAGCUGAUCCCCAGCUGCGGUCGCGCUUCCGCGGUGCGGGGCUCUUCCGCCGGCCGCCGGGCCGGAGAACGCGGGCGCCAGCUGCCCCUCCCCCGCGGACGGCUGCCCGGAGACGGCGGGCGGCGUCUUGCAGCGGCCGCUGCCCGCGCCGAACCACGGUUGAUUCAGGAUGGCGGCCCCGGUGCACCCCGGCGCGCCGCACUCUGUGAAGUUGGACACGCGUAACAAUCAGAGUGGCAGCCGGGCUGUGGGCUCACCCUCCUUCCCUGGAGGGACAGCGGCUCGCCCAACGCUGCUCGCCGCCUCCUGGGGCGCCCAGUUCUCUUUCCAAGCGAGGGAUCCCGCGAUUAGACUGGAACUCUGGAAGGAGAUGCAUUUGCAAGUCACAAGAAACAUUAUGGGAACAUAGCAGUAUCUUGUUUCAUUGGUAGGGAAGAGGCCAAAGGUCUUGAGAAUGGAGCCCUGAGGAUGCACAGCUGUUAACCAGCAGCCACGGUAUAGGUCAGAAGUAGCUGCCUUCCCAUAGUGCAGGAGUCCUCAAGUUGACCUCCAUGAGGAAACUGGGUCUUCCAGUGUGGACAGGCCCUACCAGAGCUGGCAGCCAAGGAGAACUGCAGCAGUCCUGGUCUAGCUCCACCUUACAGAGCUCAGAAGAUGGCUUUGAAGGGAUGAUUCCUUCAGAGAGAGACAAUCAUUGUUCCGAUUACCUACAAAAGUUGAGGAAGAGUUAGGUAUGAUAUAGCACAGGCCUGUGAUCUUACAAAAGGAUUGCAAAUUUGAAGCCUGCUAGGCCACAUAGUCAGACUCUCAAAAGGAAAAACAAAAGUAAAAGGAUCAUGGAGAGAUGGCAAUUUAGGACAGUUGUUCACAUGGCUCUAGCUUGCUUUUUAAAAAAAAUUUUUUUUAAAGAUAGUGUCUCACCAGACAGUGGUAGUACAUGCCUUUAAUCCCAGCACUUGGGAGGUAGAGGCAGGCAGAUCUCUGUGAGUUAGAGGCCAGUCUAAGUCUACAGAGUUAGUUCCAGUACAGCCAGGACUAUACUGAGAAACCCUCCCUCGAAAAAGAAAAAAACAACCACCAUAACCACAACCACAACCACAACCACAACCACAACCACAACCCCAGUCUAAACUGUAGUCUAAACUGGAGCUCCCUUUGUAGCCAAGGAUAAUGACCUUGAACUCCUGACCCUCCUGCUUCUACAGUCAUGUGCCACCAUGCUUGUCUGGGCAGGUUCUAUCUUUAAUAGCUAGAUGAAUAGUGGGGAGAGAGGGGUACAGAGUAACAUAUAUGAUGUGGAGAGUAGAGAGGAGGUAGUUUCUAGUAUAUAGAUGAUCUGCUAAGGUUGAUCAGUUUGAGAAACCUGGAGUCUAAUAAAGUGCAAUUCAAACUGUACUCUCUAAACUGGACAAUCAGAGUCAGCUGUAACACGGGCUUUUCUAGGCCCUCCCUUGCUCAGAAUAUUGACAAAGGGUUACUUUUACCCGUUAAUGCCUAGGCCCUAAGCUAGGCCUGUUCACAACUAGCUCAAUUAUCUGGAUUAUAUUAAUCCAAGUUCUGCCACACAGCGGGUCACCUCUCUUAGAUUUCAUAUGCCCAACUUCUUCAGAGUCUCAUUGGUAAAUCUCCUGUGCCUGACUCUUCCCCAGAAUCUCUCUCUGUCCUCAAGACCUACCUUACUAUUCUGUUGUUUGUUAUAGGCCAUAGGCUUUUUUAUUUGAACCAAUCAGAAGGUACUUUGGACAGGCAAGGAAGAACAAAGAUACACCUUCACAUAGUAUAUAUUAUCAGCUUUUUAUCACUGUGAAGAAAAUUCCUUAUAUAAUAGUCCACAAGGGAGCCAGACAUGGUGAAAUAAGCCUUUCAUCCCAGCACUCAGAAGGUAGACACACAGGCAGAUCUCUGUGAGUUUGAAGCCAUCCUGGCCUACAAGUUCUGGGACAGCCAGGGCUAUACAGUAAAACCCCAUCUCAAAAAUCCAAACCAAACAAAUAGAUCAGUCCAUUGGUAGAUGGAUCCAUAAGGGGUAUUAGUCUAUUUUGCUCUGGGCAUGCUGACUCACACCUAUAAUCCCAGCAGGUGGGAAGCUGAGACAGGAAGAUUAGUAUAAAUUUGAGACCAGCUUAUAUCAGAGUGAAUUCCACAAAAGCCUAGGCUACAGAGUGAGAUCUCAAAAAUAAAAACCAUCCAUCUCCUGCAAA